CUGUCACUAGAGUUCAGCUGUGUGGUUUGGGUCAUUCUCAGACAUUUUCCAGUAUUCACCAUCCUCUAUGGGUGAAUAUCAGUGUAUCUUCAAGCAACAAAUAUCUAUGGCUGGUCCAAGAGGGAAAACACGAAGGUCAGUGAAUGAAGACAGGACAUCCCUGGAACAUGGCAGAGAACAUAACUCAGCACUGUGCUCUGAUCUCAGAAGAAACUGCCACACACACACACACUGUACCAUAUUCCUACUUUUUCUCAAGUACUCAAAGAAAAAUGAUGUCUGUAUGUGGACAAGAAGAUAACAAAUGCCCCCACAACAGUGAGAAGUUCUGAGGAUUAUAAUUGUAAAUACAGAAUUCCAGAGAGCUUUCGUAUCAAGCUCAUGUCAUACUCCCAGGACUUGGAGCUUAAUUGGAGAGCCUCAUUAGACCCCGCCCCUCCCCUUUAGUGACUCGAAUCUAUGGCAUUACCAAGACUUAGUUCCUUGGUUCAGAUCUCGAUUUAUUACUGACUUAGAACCUCUCUUCAGCCUGAUUCAGGGCAUCUGAGGACACAGAGUCCCAGUGCACUGUCUCUGAGACGUACCACCAUGUCCCCCACGGUGCAGAGAAUUUUCCCUGCACUGCUCUUCCUUGGGCUCCUGUUUCUACUGCAGUGCCCGUCCAUUUUAGGCGGUGAGUACACAAGUGGCAGGGAAGAGGGGAGAGUUUAAACCAAGGUAUGGGAAAGAAUUCCUGGUUAAGAAUU
rnacentral:lncRNA from 1 species